rnacentral:rRNA from 1 species
GUAGGUGGCAAGCGUCGUCCGGAAUUAUUGGGCGUAAAGCGCGCGCAGGCGGUCCUUUAAGUCUGAUGUGAAAGCCCACGGCUCAACCGUGGAGGGUCAUUGGAAACUGGGGGACUUGAGUACAGAAGAGGAAAGCGGAAUUCCAAGUGUAGCGGUGAAAUGCGUAGAGAUUUGGAGGAACACCAGUGGCGAAGGCGGCUUUCUGGUCUGUAACUGACGCUGAGGCGCGAAAGCGUGGGGAGCAAACAGGGAUUAGAUACCCUGGUAGUCCACGCCGUAAACGAUGAGUGCUAAGUGUUAGGGGGUUUCCCGCCCCUUAGUGCUGCAGCUAACGCAUUAAGCACUCCGCCUGGGGAUACGGCCGCAAGGCUG